UACGUAGGGAGCAAGCGUUGUCCGGAUUUAUUGGGCGUAAAGGGCUCGUAGGCGGUUUGUCACGUCGGAAGUGAAAACUCAGGGCUCAACCCUGAGCGUGCUUACGAUACGGGCAAACUAGAGGUAUGCAGGGGAGAACGGAAUUCCUGGUGUAGCGGUGGAAUGCGCAGAUAUCAGGAGGAACACCGGUGGCGAAGGCGGUUCUCUGGGCAUUACCUGACGCUGAGGAGCGAAAGCGUGGGGAGCGAACAGG
rnacentral:rRNA from 1 species